UACGGGGGGGGCAAGCGUUGUUCGGAAUUACUGGGCGUAAAGGGUGUGUAGGUGGCCAACUAAGUCCGACGUGAAAUCCCCAGGCUUAACCUGGGAACUGCGUCGGAUACUGGAUGGCUUGAAUUCGGGAGAGGGAUGCAGAAUUCCAGGUGUAGCGGUGAAAUGCGUAGAUAUCUGGAGGAACACCGGUGGCGAAGGCGGCGUUCUGGACUGUUACUGACACUGAGGAACGAAAGCCAGGGGAGCAAACGGG
rnacentral:rRNA from 1 species